rnacentral:misc_RNA from 1 species
GUGGUUAUAUUGCUGCAUCCAAGGUUUGUUGCUUAUUUAUUUGUCCCUAAUCUUAGGUGUAAUGCAAUUCCAAGUUAUUAAGGAGAAUAUGUCACCAAGGCAUUUUUUGUCACCAUAUUUUAUUUCACCUUUUCUCACUGUUAAAUUGUUUUACCCAUAAUCAUAAUAAGUGUUUUAUUGUUCUAGUGAAGCCUUUACAUUCUUCAUUUUAAAGAAUUUCAAUAUUAUAUAAGGCUUGGUUGGAUUGGAAAUUGUGAAUCAGAAAGGUAACAGCAAAACUUUUUGCGUCAGGUCUCUGUCUUUAGUCAUAUGUAAAACAAAAGGCAACAACUUGGCGGUUCCCUUGUUCUCAUUAAGAACUUUCUUUCACCAUGUUUGGUUUUUCCUCUAUACAAAGUUGAAAUCACUGUAUGAUCAGUGAGACUCACAUCUAUUUAGAGCUUAUCAUGACGAUCCUUGUUGGCCCUGUCAAAUUUUCAAUAAAGUAUCAUCAGUUGAAUGAUUUGGUCAUGCCCACUAGUUCUAGAUAUCAUGGAGGAUGUCAACUGUGGACACUGAACUUUCAUAAUUUGCUUAUUUCACAGUUUUCCCUAUUGCAGCAUAUCUAAUAUUGGUUCUAUUUGAUUAAUACAGUUGUGAAUAUUUUAUGUUUGCCUGAUGUCUAAGUUUGCUUCUUGUUUUAGGAGGUUAUACAAUAUCUU